ensembl:lincRNA Gm26902 predicted gene, 26902
AGUGCAGCAGCGUCACCGGGAACACGAACACCAGGUGCUGGUAGAGUGUCAGCCCCAGGCAAGGCAGAAGCUGCUUUACAGAAGGCGAGAAGUCCGGGUGGAUCUUGUAGCGUCGCAGGAUGGGGACCCAGGGAUACAGGACGUCCAGCACCACGAACGCUGAUGUACUAAUGACACAGGAGAGAGCGAUUCUGCCUUGGGACAGUUCACCCGCCAUCACCGCUAAAAACUAAUGAGUUCUUCGCUCUCAGAAGGCACUGUUUCCCAACCAAAGCAGAAUUCCCUGGGUUUUAAAAUAUCUGUUUUUGACUGUUUAAAGACUUAUUCUACAUCUUGGGGAACUCUGAGUGUGCGUACCUCACGCCACAGUGCUGGUACUGGGUCCGUUGCAGACAGGGAUUGAGUCCCUUAGGAGAGGGAACCUGGCAUCCUCCAAAAAAGAACAGUCAGGCUCAGGCUCGCAGCCUUUUGGCGCGGACGACUCUCCCGCUCUGGUGCCCUUAAAGCCCGCGGUGUCAAGAGCAGAGAUCAGAUCCUGCAAGACAGCGGUCAAGAGGGCAGCACUGCCAGCCUUUGCUCUGGGUUGGAGAACGGAGGCUUAACACCCACAAAGGCUCACUAGAUUGGGCCAAACCGCAAAGGCCAGUGGAGAAGAAGAUCUGAGCAAUCUCAUAGCCUCCGGGAACAUGUCUCAUCUCCACUGCCAUUUCCUUAGAGGUCCCUCAGGCUCCGACUUUUACCAACCCUCAGUUGUUCCCUACUCCUCAACUCCUGGAUACCCUUUCAGACACUGGGACUGAUCGUCCAGGGACUGAGCACAGGAGGUCAGUACUAUAUCCAAGGAGAGUGCCCUAGAGAGUGGAGCACAGAAAUCAGCCCCGGGUAGCGGAUACAAGGCACAGAAGAUCCCAGAGGAAAGCCAGGGGCCAUUCUUCCAGGGUUUCUUUCUUGAAUUUGUGUCUUUACAGCUGCUUUUCUCUGCUGGAAGCUAACAUAGUCUUAUACAAGCUUGUGUUUCUUGUGUUAUUUUCCAAAGAAAACAGGGAUUGUAGCUCUAGGAGCCUGCUGCCAGUCCCCCCUGGGGGGGAGGGGGAGGGGAUGGACUGUAACUUUUGCCUGCACAAGACUGUUACUUGUGAUUCACACUCAUCAAGAACUGGCUCCCACAUUUGUCAGGAAGUACCCCAUAACUGUGGCUUCACAGCUCUCUAUCUAAGGCCUCAGCACAUACCAAAGGAAAUAAGGCACACAAUCACUUUAACUUUGUAUUUCACAGGUAACCACUAAGAUAUUUGGAAUUAAAUGCAAAUAGUUAAGGUUUUUUUUUUAACAUGAAGAAAAGAUAAAAGGAUAUAAGAAACAAACACAUAUGGUAAAAAUAUGGUACAAUAAAUGGGUCC